GGAUCAUAAAUCCUCAAAAGCCUGAUAAGGCAAAAGAAACAUUAAAUUAGCCCUCUUGCAUUUAAAACCAUGGAGACAGAACAACUUCUGCAUAUCAGUCAGAAUUCUGAAGGAAAAAUGGGCGCAACACAUGUGCUUUCGACAGCAAUAACAACAUUCGUCACUGAUUAAGUUAUAUGCAAAAACACUAAUGAGCAACACGAACUUAGACCAUGAAAAAUAAAAGGACAAGUAAAAAAUUAUAAGCAAGAAUCACAAGGGAAAUUCAAUAUGGCACCUUUUGACUAUCUUUCCAUUCCAUAAAUGAAGAUAACUAAUAAACAGUUAUUAGUAACACAAUGGAAAUGGUUAACAGUUGUUAACAGCAUUGACACGUGUGAUAAUUCAUUUCUAUUAUUCAUAGAGACAUCAUGUUAAUCUGCAACCCAGUGGUGUGAGAAAGUUGUUUUCUUUUUCCCCUUAUCUAUUUGGAUAAGGGUGAAGGAGGGAUAAAUAAAA
rnacentral:misc_RNA from 1 species